rnacentral:rRNA from 1 species
GAUGAACGCUGGCGGCGUGCUUAACACAUGCAAGUCGAACGGAAAGGCUCCUGCUUGCUGGGGUACUCGAGUGGCGAACGGGUGAGUAACACGUGGGUGAUCUGCCCAGCACUUCGGGAUAAGCCUGGGAAACUGGGUCUAAUACCGGAUAGGACGAUGGUUUGGAUGCCAUUGUGUAAAGUUUUUUCGGUGGGGGAUGGGCUCGCGGCCUAUCAGCUUGUUGGUGGGGUGUUGGCCUACCAAGGCGUCGACGGGUAGCCGGCCUGAGAGGGUGUACGGCCACAUUGGGACUGAGAUACGGCCCAGACUCCUACGGGAGGCAGCAGUGGGGAAUAUUGCACAAUGGGCGGAAGCCUGAUGCAGCGACGCCGCGUGGGGGAUGACGGCCUUCGGGUUGUAAACUCCUUUCGCUAGGGACGAAGCGCAAGUGACGGUACCUGGUGAAGAAGCACCGGCUAACUACGUG